rnacentral:rRNA from 1 species
UAGGGAAUCUUCCACAAUGGACGCAAGUCUGAUGGAGCAACGCCGCGUGAGUGAAGAAGGUUUUCGGACCGUAAAGCUCUGUUGUUGGUGAAGAAGGAUAGAGGUAGUAACUGGCCUUUAUUUGACGGUAAUCAACCAGAAAGUCACGGCUAACUACGUGCCAGCAGCCGCGGUAAUACGUAGGUGGCAAGCGUUGUCCGGAUUUAUUGGGCGUAAAGCGAGCGCAGGCGGAAGAAUAAGUCUGAUGUGAAAGCCCUCGGCUUAACCGAGGAAUUGCAUCGGAAACUGUU